rnacentral:misc_RNA from 1 species
CAACUGCGAUAUGUAGUGUGAACUGCAGAAACCUUGAACACAGAACAUUCGAAUGCACAUUGCGCCAUUGGAGUGACAUCCUUUGGCACGCCUGGUUCAGGGUCGUAAUCCUAAAACGCACAGCGUGUGCGUGUACAAACUGCUUGAUCAGCGCGCGUGAGACCAUACGCCGCUGUUCUCGCAUCAGUGAAUGUGCACCUUUUUUGGGUACGAGUGGUGUCGGCAUGGACUUAUCCGCAGAUUGUUGCUGUCCAUGUCUUACACAAAUCCAGUAACUUGGGCAUCACUCACACUCGCUUAAGGGAUCGGCAUCUAAUUAUCAAAUUUUCGACCUGAACUCAGACGUGAACACCCGCUGAACUUAA